UACGUAUGGGGCAAGCGUUGUCCGGAAUCAUUGGGCGUAAAGCGCGCGUAGGCGGCCCUGCAAGUCCGUUGUGAAAGUCAAAGGCUCAACCUUUGAAAGCCGAUGGAUACUGCAGGGCUAGAGUCCGGAAGAGGCGAGUGGAAUUCCUGGUGUAGCGGUGGAAUGCGCAGAUAUCAGGAGGAACACCAAUAGCGAAGGCAGCUCGCUGGGACGGUACUGACGCUAAGGCGCGAAAGCGUGGGGAGCGAACAGG
rnacentral:rRNA from 1 species